GGAAGCACUUACUCAUGCAUGCCUUGUUUGUACUAGGCUAAGGAAUUACGUCAUAUUGAAGCGUUAAUUCCUCUAGUCCCGUGCAAUCCAGGCUAUGAAUGCAAUGCUGCGAUCC
rnacentral:pre_miRNA from 1 species